rnacentral:lncRNA from 1 species
GGGCCGCGGGGCCGGGGGGCUGGGGGAAACCCCGGAAGCAAAGCGGCACGGCACCACACCCUCCCCCGCCUCUCGAGGGGACCGAGGUCCGCUAGAGAAGGUCAGACGGCUCCGAGGACGGUCAGAACCGGGCCCACCCUCGACUCCGAGCCCAAGAGAGCGGCAGGAAGGCAAAAAGCCCGCCCCGGCACACGCGGGGAAAGAGGCGGAGAGGCAAACACGGAAAAGCCGAGAUCGCGGGCGCUCGAGGACGCAGCGCCGCCGAGGAGCAAACGGGACCCACGAGGGUCCGCCGCGCGGGGGUCAAGCGGCCCCGACCGGGCCCAAAAAUACGUCCCCCUCUGACCCUUCGUCCUCCAGCAGGCGAUCGGUGGCCGCACGACAAUCAAGGGCGGAGGCGCGGGGGAAGGGAAGGGCGCGAAGCCCCCCCCCCCAAGCCACACACGAGCGCGCUCAACGCCUGGCGGAGAAGACACCUUUCGCCAACAGAACCGGAGGGAUCCGAGAACAGAGGGGACAGGGGCCCGGCGCAGGAAAAAGACCCACACAAACGCGGGCGGGGGGGCGGCCCGCCGAGAACUCGGAACACACGGCACACACGCGACCCGCGGCCGACGCGACCAAACCGGCGAUUUUCCCUUCUCUCGCUCUCUCCACACAGCAAUGCGCGGAGAAGGCACAGGAGCUCCUCCUUCGCACACCCCAGAGCAGAGCGGGGCACCCGGGAGCCGACCGCCCGUCGGUCACGGGCAACUCAAGGCUCCCCCGUACAAGCCCGGCCACGGGAAGGCAUCGCGGGAAGGCGAUCGGCAAGGAGGCCGCCGCCAAAGCAGAAACACGGCCCUAGGAGCAGGGCCCGGUCCACCCGACUUGGAGCAGGAACCGCCACUCCCCCCUCCCCCAGGCGGGGCAGCGGGAGCCAGGAACAGGCGGGUGAGCGACAGAGUCAUCACCGCCUUGCCCUGACGGCCCUCCCUCGCGGGACCAGGGACACCACAUCGAUCCGAGGAGAAAUCCUCCAAAGACGGGAAAGAGGGCGGGAGGGGGACAGCGGCCCAACGACCCCAAGACGGGCCGAGAGAGGAGAGGACCCCGAGCGGAACGCCACCCGGGGAAAAAAAACCGAGGGCCGACCCCAACACCACCGAGGAGAGAGCGAGAAGACGGGGGCCGGGCGGCAACCCGGAGGCGCCGCGCAGCCCGAGGCAACAACCAGCCGAGAGGUUCCGGGAGAAGGACAGAGACCGGCAGCGGACCGCCUCACAGCACGACAACGGCCCCAAAGCCAAAAGCGCGGCUUUUCUGCACACCGGCUCGUCCUCCCCAUUCCCAACAACAGCCAGAGCACUUCUCCCCACUAGUCUGCAGGCACAAUCACCCGUUUGUUGACGAAAAAAUUACGUGCCGCACCACCGGGGGAAAUUUGAAAAUCGAGCCCAGCUCAUGGAACUCUGACCCGGAUAGCCCUGGCAAUCUCGACCCCAUCGGACUUCCGGACUGGAGCAGCUCACCGAGAAAAGGCAACGCCCACCGCGUCGAGCGU